UGGAGGCUGGGGAAUGCAGGUCAAUGGAGUAAAUGAGACAGUAGAGCCUAUAUUCAUUACAGACUUUGUCCUGUAACAGUUAACCUUACAAAUUAUUAGACCUGUCCUCUCCUUUUCAGAUUGAAGUACCUCUAUUCACAGCAGGUGAUAUAUUUCUAGACCAACCAUGCUUUAAAGAUGGUUUCACCAGAAAGAAGCAUAUGAUCAUCUGAGAGGACCCAAGGAAACAGGUUCAUCUCCCAUGCUUUGUUGCUUCUUUCUGCCUGGAGAAAAUGAAACUGGGACUACAACUAGGUGAGUUAAGCUAAACUGCUUGAGCAAUAAUUAAACUAUCUAAUAAAAGUUUUGGCAUAUAAGUCUGUGGAGAAAAAAAUACCUCAGUAGCUUUUAUUACAGUUUUCUCAGACUUCCUCUGGAUGUUUCCUGUCUUUCAAAUUUCUCCUGUCUCCUUUAACAACAUACUUUUAGCUUCAAAAUUUCUGCCAAAAUAGGCAUUUAAAAUACUGAUUUGAUGUACAGACAUUGUGAUAACAGUUGCUACUUUCCACAGAUGUUCUCCAAAUAUCUAGGUAGCUAGCCCAGACAUUAUGUGUUGGCACUCUUUUUCUUACCUGUUGGAGAUGGGCACAUCCCCUACCCUGCAGCCCACUCACAGUAGUCCAGUGACCUUUUUAGGAUGCUUCUGUUACCAUGAACAGUAGGUGGCAACCAUGCUCUCUGAUGUUGGUGACAAGUCUCCUUGAAAUCCUACCUCCCCUAGGCUUGCACCCUCUACCUAAAGCUGGAGCUGUCUCAAAACUUGUCAGCAGUGAAGCCAGAAUUGAAUGGUAGGGAACUUUGAAGGGAUGUACUUGAACCUGAGUCUGUGUUGGACAGGGUGGUGAGACACUGGAACAGGCUGCCCAGAGAAGUUGUGGAUGCCCCAUCUUUGGAAGUGUUCAAGGAGAAGUUACUCUAAUGGAAUUUGCCCUGAAGUCAACAAGCAACCACCAUGUUAGACCAGCAAGACUGGCAUUGACCCCUGCUGAUCUUAUACCUACUGACAUCAGAGGGAAUGCCACUGAUGCAGCUACUGUUUUUGCAUGUGGCAUUUUGUGUUCCUCUUGUUAACAGAAGAACUCUGAAGAGCUUUAAAAUUUGGAGGUUGACUCCCCUAGGAAUCCAUAAAAAGGGAUAAUCUGACACUUAAUUUCCAAUCCAGAUCCAUCUGUAGAGGAAAAAAAAGAACACCAGCCUUGCAACUCCGAAGUGCCACCUUACAAUAUUUUAUUUUUUAAAUAGAAAAGAAAACAAAUAAAUUUAAGAGAAAACAAGGAAAUUCUAUACGAAGUGUGUUGUUUGAAGUGCUGUCCGUGACACUAUUUAUCUUAAAAGCUGCCAAGAAUUUCCGUUACAAUUAAUUCAGCUCAAGGCACAUGGUUUACAUUUUUUUUUUCUCAGUAAGAACAGUUAAGAAAAAGAAACAAGUCCAUUUGUGGAAUAACCCAGAU